UUUAAAUGGCCGCAGUAUAUUAACUGUGCAAAGGUAGCAUAAUCAUUAGUCUUUUAAUUGAAGGCUGGUAUGAAUGGUUGGACGAAAUAUUAACUGUUUCAUAAAAAUUUAUAUUAGAAUUUUAUUUUUUAGUCAAAAAGCUAAAAUUUAUUUAAAAGACGAGAAGACCCUAUAAAUCUUUAUAUUUAUAUUAAUUUAAUUUUUUAGAUUUUUUUUAUUAUAUUAAUUAAUAAUAUUUUAUUGGGGUGAUAUUAAAAUUUAAUGAACUUUUAAUUUUUUUUUUUCAUAAAUUUAUGAAUAAAUGAUCCGUUAUUAACGAUUAAAAAAAUAAGUUACUUUAGGGAUAACAGCGUAAUUUUUUUGGAGAGUUCUUAUCGAUAAAAAAG
rnacentral:rRNA from 1 species